ACGGGUGCGUAACGCGUAUGCAAUCACCUUUUUGCAGAGGGAUAGCCAGAGAAAAUUUAGAUUAAUACCUCAUAGUAUAGUACUUUGGCAUCAAGGAACUAUUAAAGUCACAACGGCAAAAGAUGAGUAUGCGUCCCAUUAGCUAGAUGGUAAGGUAACGGCUUACCAUGGCAAUGAUGGGUAGGGGUCCUGAGAGGGAGAUCCCCCACACUGGUACUGAGACACGGACCAGACUCCUACGGGAGGCAGCAGUGAGGAAUAUUGGACAAUGGGCGCAAGCCUGAUCCAGCCAUGCCGCGUGCAGGAUGACGGUCCUAUGGAUUGUAAACUGCUUUUGUACAGGAAGAAACACUACUUCGUGAAGUAGCUUGACGGUACUGUAAGAAUAAGGAUCGGCUAACUCCGUG
rnacentral:rRNA from 1 species